GACGCGUGGGCGGCGUGCUUAAUACAUGACAAGUCGAGCGUAGGUUACUGUUUUGGAUCCCUUCGGGGUGAAGAAGCUUUAACCUAGCGGCGGACGGGUGAGUAACGCGUGGUAACCUACCCCAAAGUCCGGGAUAACAGCGGGAAACCGCUGCUAAUACCGGAUGUCUUUACCUUGGGGCAUCUUGAGGUAAAGAAAGGUAACGCUUUGGGAUGGGCCCGCGUCCCAUUAGCUAGUUGGUGAGGUAACGGCUCACCAAGGCGACGAUGGGUAGCCGGCCUGAGAGGGUGGACGGCCACACUGGGACUGAGACACGGCCCAGACUCCUACGGGAGGCAGCAGUAGGGAAUAUUGCGCAAUGGACGGAAGUCUGACGCAGCGACGCCGCGUGAGCGAUGAAGGUCUUCGGAUCGUAAAGCUCUGUCCUUGGGGAAGAAGGCGAAAGCUUGACGGUACCCAAGAAGAAAGCCCCGGCUAACUACGUG
rnacentral:rRNA from 1 species